UACGAAGGGGGCUAGCGUUGCUCGGAAUCACUGGGCGUAAAGCGCACGUAGGCGGCUUUUUAAGUCAGGGGUGAAAUCCUGGAGCUCAACUCCAGAACUGCCUUUGAUACUGAGAAGCUUGAGUCCGGGAGAGGUGAGUGGAACUGCGAGUGUAGAGGUGAAAUUCGUAGAUAUUCGCAAGAACACCAGUGGCGAAGGCGGCUCACUGGCCGGUACUGACGCUGAGGUGCGAAAGCGUGGGGAGCAAACAGG
rnacentral:rRNA from 1 species